rnacentral:siRNA from 1 species
AUCUCCGAUCACCGUCUCUCUUCC